AUUGAACGCUGGCGGCAGGCCUAACACAUGCAAGUCGAGCGAGCGGCGGACGGGUGAGUAAUGUCUGUGAAACUGCCUGUUGGGGGGGGAUAACUACUCGAAACGCUAGCUAAUACCGCAUACCAUCUGAUGUGCCCAGAUGGGGGUAGCUAGUGGGUGGGGUAACGGCUCACCUAGGCGACGCUCCCUAGUUGGUCUGAGAGGAUGACCAGCCACACGGGAACGGAGACACGGUCCAGACUCCUACGGGAGGCAGCAGUGGGGAAUAUUGCACAAUGGGCGCAAGCCUGAUGCAGCCAUGCCGCGUGUGUGAAGAAGGCCUUCGGGUUGUAAAGCACUUUCAGCGGGGAGGCGUUACCCGCAGAAGAAGCACCGGCUAACUCCGUGCCAGCAGCCGCGGUAAUAC
rnacentral:rRNA from 1 species